GACGAACGCUGGCGGCGUGCUUAACACAUGCAAGUCGAACGGAAAGGCCCUGCUUUUGUGGGGUGCUCGAGUGGCGAACGGGUGAGUAACACGUGGGUAACCUGCCCUUGACGUUGGGAUAACUUCAGAAAACUGGGGCUAAUACCGGAUAGGAGCUCCUGCUGCAUGGUGGGGGUUGGAAAGUUUCGGCGGUUGGGGCUGGACUCGCGGCUUAUCAGCUUGUUGGUGGGGUAGUGGCUUACCAAGGCUUUGACAGGUAGCCGGCCUGAGAGGGGAGCCGGCCACGAUAGGACUGAGAUAAGGCACAGACUCCUAUGGGAGGCAACGGUGGAGAAUAUGACACAGUGGGCGGAGGCAUGAUGCAGCAACGCCGCGUGCGGGAAGACGGCCUUGGGGUUGUAAACCGCUUUCGCCUGUGACGAAGCGUGAGUGACGGUAAUGGGUGAAGAAGCACCGGCUAACUACGUG
rnacentral:rRNA from 1 species